GAGGGAGGGGAGGGGGACAGAUCGCUUUUACAUUACGCUACGCACACAUACACACACACAAAAAAAACGGGACACAAGUUGCAUUUCCCGUCAAAGUUGAGUUUGAAAAGCGAUGCCGCUGUCCUCUUUCUGCCUUUUUGUUUUUUAUUUGUUUGUAGGUUUUUUGUCCUCGCGUCUCCGUCUCUCGUCCACUGUUUCCCCUGGACGCAGCGUCCGUCUGCACCAGCCCUAAAACCAGAACUUCAGCGCUCCCCGGGACGCUGCCGGACAUCUAGAAUGUGUUUCCCUGUCUUGUCUUUUAUUUUGAAGGUGGACUUCCUGCAGGAGCCUGUGCUCGGCGGCCGGCCCGUUGCCUCGGCAUGAGGAAGUCAGCCCUUGGUUCUCAGAAUAUUGCACGCUUUGUUACGAUAGGCCCACGGGCGGCGGCAGACCCUGAAGCCUCGAGAGGAGCACUGACAGUGGAAAAACCCACCGGCUCCGUUCUACAAACAMAAACGUUUACUUCCUGUUUACAGUUCUUUGACACAUUGAAGAACAACUCCAGCCAAGAUCUCGUCCAGGAAUUGAGGAACAGAACUGUGAGAGGAGGAAGACUGCGGAGGUGUUCUGAGGUACGUCAGGAGGACUGACCGCGAGCAGAAACUCUGGGCUGAAGAGACAACGGACCUCUGAGAGGCUUCGUUGUUGACAAACUCAGCUUUACCUGAGCUCCAUGUGAGGAUGAAGAUGAUUGGAUGAAGACGAUGAAGACUGUGGUCUGCGUGAAGGACGUGUGCUUUUUAUUUAACGUGAUGAUAAAAACAAACGUGGUUUCUGAUGUUUCCACUCAGUGGACCUCAGAGCUGCUCUAACUGGUCUGAAUGUUUCCCGUCGGUUCGAUUGGCACCGUUUGAAUAUGGCUAUGAACUGGCAGGAGGACUGGGUGCAGACUAAACGCUGGAGGAAACAGCAGAUAGAAAAAGGUUGAUCUGCGGCUGACAGACGUCCAACAGAGAGUUGGCUGCAAGACUUUCUAAAUGAUCAGGGGCGUGGCUUCUAAAGCCCUGGAGGCGGGGUUGAGUUUCCUAAUAUGGAGGGAAGCACUUUCAUCAGAGGAUCCAGUGGGCGGAGCCUCUGGAGCUGGGGUUAUGGAUGAAUGUGUAGCUGCGUUUUUUAUUCCUGACUGAUGGAACUGAACUGUGCCGACAGGAGUGAGAAAAUAAAAUCCGACAGAACCCAAACGCAGCGUCUGAAGUGAGCGAGGCGGACGACGGCGCUGGAAGCUUCGCGAUUUCAGCUCAAUGCCGUCGUCUUUCAGCUGCACGGGACGGGGGGCGGGGCCGAGGACAGGUGAGGAGAGGACAGAGGUCGAACUGCUCGUCAACUUUGACAGGAAUAAUAUCUCAGUAGAUUUAUACAUAGACAUGCAAGUCAUCUUUUCUCUCUUUAAGGUUAUUUACAAUAAUUACAGAACACAAAGAAUCCAGUUUCAGUUUGACAAAAUUGCGAGCAUUCAAUAUUACUACUAUUAUUUAUGAGAACAUAAACUCCUUUUCUUGAAACCAUUGCUAUGUUAACCUCCUGUUUAAAAAUUUAGUUUGAUCACUUUGUGUGAACCCGUUCACUCUCCCUCUGGGUUUCUGCAAGUGUUUUACUGCAUUUGAUUCCUCGUUUAUGGUUAUAAUAAUAAUAAGAGCAAUAAGUGUAUUUCUUACAUGUUAUGGCAAGGAUUAUGUGGGUGUGGUCUAUCUAUGUGACCCCUCCCCUAACUCCUCCCACUAAGGGAAAAACAAAACACUGAUAGAAAUAAAUACUGUCUCAUUUUUUUAAAAAAGAGCUGAGACAUGUUAGGAUCAAAGGAAUUGAUUGGUAACAACAAACACAAAUAUUUACGUAUUCUCGGAGCGGGACACCCAACAGGAUUUGGUUUCUGAAAAUCAGGAAGAAAAAAAGUCAAAUCAGGGAGGAGCACGGUCCGACGGCGGAGGAGGGAGGGCAAAAAUACGACUGACUUGGACGCAGCACACGUCGUGUCUACGUGGGACGAAACAACAACACCUGUGGGUUAUUUUGCUAACAGGAAAUCAAUCUUUGGAGUCUCCGCGUCGCACCGAAGUCGUCUCUGAGUGAUUAGUUUUUCCCGCUGCGGGUGUCCCGCCCUGACAGGAACUGUACACAGCCAACAGAAGCAGUCAGGGCCCGCAGCCACGAACAUGUACAGGUUUACAAACGCAGUAUGUUGUGUAAGAUUUACAGUUAWAUAUUUAUAUAUUCUUCUUUAAAUAUUGAUUGACAGGCUGCAGUCCUUCAUCACACACAGGAAGACGCUCUCUGCUGAUUUUAGGAUGGUUUAAUCUGCAACAAGAAAUAAUGUUUAACUUGAACUUCUGCCUCCAUCUCAUCUGAAAUAUUUAACUCAUGGUUCACGUCAGGUGAGGGUCUUCAUGGUGGUGGUGGUCCUAAAAUUGAUAGCCCUCUGUUUGAUCUAAAGCUGAGGUUUGAAGGGUUAAAUAUUCAGACUCAAACUGCUGCUUUCAUGAUAAAUAAUUACGUAAAAAGAAAGUCCUGCUGAACGCUCGGAUUAAAAAUAAAAACCUGUUUCCAGACCUCUUUCUGUGAACCUGCAGGUUAAAACAGGAAGUGAUUUGAUGGAUUUCCUCCUGAUUAAUUCAAAAUAAAAGCUUAAAACCUGCAGAGGAGCAUCGAUCCUGGAGUGUGAUCAUGACUGAGAAACGAGCUGUACAAGAAAAAAAAAAAGACACAAAACAAGAAGAAUAAGAGCAGAAAGUAAAGUGAAGAAGAAAGCACCACCGUAGUUCCAGAAUGAGCUUCAAACGGAGGAGAAACCACAGAUUUUUCCACCAAUCAGACACAAACAUCUACAGGUGACAAGGAAAGCAGGGUGGAGGCAGGCUUUGCUUUGUAGCAGGAUCAAUAGAUCGAUUGAUUGAUUGACUGAUGGACUGACCAACAUGCAGUGAGGGCUGGUGGUUAAUGGGGGGCGGGGUUUUACUUUUAUACUCUAGUUUUUUUUAAUUUCUGAGUGUAAACUUGACUCACGUUGUGCUCUUGGAGUUUUAGCGGCGAACGUUUCAAGAACACGAGGGGAGGAAAGAAAGGCUUUGGUUUGAAUUAAAUCAUAAAACUGUGAUCAUGGAGUCCCUAAAUGAUGAGCUUUUGAUUCAUUUAAUGUUUCUGAAACUGUUGCAACCCGACGAACUGCAACCAGGUGCUUUGCACGUCGAAACACGCUUGUGCUGCUAACACACACACACACACAUACACACACACACACCAAUCUUCACCAGAGAGGAGGGGAAGCAUGCUGCACACACAAGGCCAGGCGGAGGUUCAACAGGAAGUUAUCCCACAGCAUCACAUUCAGACGGCGUGGAGAGGACUCCUCCACAGACUCGCAGACUAACAGGCAGCCGAUGGAGGAGAUGUGGAAACUAUCGAGUCACUCGGAGGGAGCAGAAACAGUGUUUACUUUUCAACAGAACUGUUCGACAGCUAAAUAAAUAAUAACAGUAGCUAAUGUGCUAACUCGUCAGGUCCGAUGGUAAAGUGCACGAUAAGGAGGGCAGGGUGGGCUACAAAAACUAACACCGUCAUGCAAACUCCACAACGUUUUUGCAUGCCUUUAAAUGAUCUGAUCUAUUACAGCAGGACCGGAGGGUCCGACUCCAGGCCAGCGGCUCUUUGUACAAACAACUACAACACAAGACUGGAGGGGUCUGAACUCUGUGUCCGACCUCUCAGGGUCCGUACUCUCAGGGUCCAAACUCUCAGGGUCGAAACUCUCAAGGUCCGAACUUUCAGGGUCYGAACUCUCAGGGUCCAAACUCUCAAGGUCUGAACUCUCAGGGUCGAAACUCUCAAGGUCCGAACUUUCAGGGUCUGAACUCUCAGGGUCCAAACUCUCAAGGUCCAAACUUUCAGGGUCCGAACUCUCAGGGUCCAGCCUCUCAGGGUCCGAACUCUCAGGGUCUGAUCUCUCAAAGUCCAAACGCUCAGGGUCGAUCACUCAAGGGUUCAGACGCUCCAGGUCCAAACCCUCGACCAAACAAGCCCUCUUCAGUUAUUGAUGUAAAAACAGAAAAUUUACAGGAAACACACGGCAGAGCCACUUGAAGCUAGCUGCAACAACAUCCUCACACCUCUAGUCUCUGUCCGCCACCAUCACCACCCCAUAAACCACAGACGACCACCAGGACCGGCAUCGGCCGCCGAGAACGCAGAGCUGAAUGAAAUAUUCUGCAGUUGACUCUGGUGAGCGAAGCAUCAAGCUGACAAACGGGUUUAUAAUCACUAAAAUCUACUGGGAUUUUUAAAAAUGUGGGAAUCACUUCUGCAAACAACCGGCAGUUUGUUCAGAGACAUUAGUUCGCUGUUGGGACGUGUCACAAGGGUGAAACUUUGGUGAAUCAGCCAUUUUGGUUUAGGAAAACCAAAGAAUAACAAUAACUAAAUAAAACCUCCCUUCGUCCUGAAGCUACAACAGUUUUGAGCAUCACAGACAUCAAAAGCUAACAAUGCUAACUACUACAUCUCCAGAGAAAAUACAGAUAUUACACUAAACAAUGACUACGUCCCUAAGUCUAAAAGCUAACGUAUUGCUUGAAGUGCUGAGUGAGUUCACGGUGGUAUUUCUUUCAGCGUCGGCCUCAACAGAAGUUCAGUGACCUCCGUAUCACAGAGCCUGAGCACCUUCCUCCCUAAAACCUCAGCCCGCUCUGACAGCUAACCACGAACRGUCACAAAACAUUCAGAGUUUAAAGUGGACAGAUGGACACCAGCUGUCUUUAUGGACCAAAUGGAACAACUUUUAGAAUAAAACUAUUAGUUUAAAUGCAGUUUAAUACGGGCCACUUCAUGUCUGGACCAAGGAUCCGUUUCAUUUUGUUCUUAUUCAGUCCAAACCAGAGGGGUUCCACCAAGACCAUAGUUUGGUCCAUACAGUUCCUGGAUGACAGCGUCCAUAAUUAUACUGUAAUACUGUUAGCUGCGUCACUUUAAAACUAUCUGCACUUGUGUUGUUUAAUCGAUCGUAGCUUCUCCUCUGUGUGCAUCCUAAAAACAUCUUAAUGCUUCGUAACUUUUCCACUCAGCGUUUUAAUUAAUUUGGGACAACGCACAUAUUUUGUUACGUUUCAACAAAUAUCACGUCACCAUCAUCAGAAUAAAACAUGCAACUACAACAAAGAAAGUCUUAAAAUGUAACAGGUGUGUGUUUUGUCCCCAAUCAGCAGCGCUGACCUGAACACACCUUCAUGUUAGCUUUAAUUAGCUUCCAAAUUAGCAUCUUCUCUGUAGCGAGUGCAUUGUGCAGGCUUAGAGUGCUAAUGCUAACACAGUUUAAUAAAACUAUUUUUAAAGUGACUUAUUUAAUUUGAAAUAUUUGUAAAUUUGUGUAACUCAAAUCCCUUUUCAUUAGAAAAAAUUCCUGAUUACGCAGCAACAAACUUUCAGCCAGGUUUUCUCCAGCGCUGGACCGGACUCACUGCUUCCACUUUAAUAAACAAAAGACCAAAACCAGGAGCUAAAAAUUCAACAAGCUUCUACACAAACACAAGCUAAUGCUACAAACGCUAAUUCAUGCAAAGCAGCGCGGUCUGACGAUGACACUGGCGCUAAGACGGGGACGGUUGUGACGAAGGGGAGAUUUUAGCGUGUUCACAAACUUGUGUGUUCACGUUGUGGAGGAAUGUGUGUUCCAGCUGGGUUUAGUCAGAUAAUUUGGGUUCUGCAGAGAUGCUACAUGCUAGCUUCUAAAUCAAUGUUCCACUCAGUUUCUACUGCGUUUAAACAUGUCUGCCAUUAAAAACUCAGCUUUACUUUCAGAACGUAAAAUGAACUAAAUAUCCAGCUGAUAGUUCAUUUGUUUAAAAAAUGGAACAAAAAGUAAGUUUAUUUUUGGAUGACACUAAAUUUUGGCACAACACCAGCUUGUUAAAUAGAUCUUAACACUCAGCAGUGCGAUUCAGUCGUUAAGGUUCCUGAAAUGGAAAGAAACCUUCGCCGAAGCGUCACAGACCUCCAACACAAACACACACAGGUGAGAUACGGCGAGGACACACCGCAUCACACCAGCUAAACACCAACACCAUGCCAGGCUUCACAGGACACGUCACACAUGCAUCACAACAGCAGCACGACACAAAGCAUCAAACGCUCCCCGUUAAAAAAAAAAA